AGUGGAAUUUCGCGGAAAGUAGUUCACGAACGUAUAGCCGCGCGCCUGGUCGAUGGCGUGGAACAGCGGAUUCCAGUCGAACAGGUUCAGCAUCGCGGGCGGCAGCGCGUUCGCGACGAACAUCUUGCCCGAGGCGAUCAUGUUGGCGCGCUG
rnacentral:ncRNA from 1 species